rnacentral:rRNA from 1 species
CCUACGGGUGGCAGCAGUGAGGAAUAUUGGUCAAUGGCCGGAAGGCUGAACCAGCCAAGCCGCGUGAAGGACGAAGGUGCCAAGCAUUGUAAACUUCUUUUGUCAAGGGACAAAAUCAGGCUCGAGAGCCUGACCGAGGGUACUUGAAGAAAAAGCAUCGGCUAACUCCGUGCCAGCAGCCGCGGUAAUACGGGGGAUGCGAGCGUUAUCCGGAUUUAUUGGGGUAAAAGGGUGCGUAGGCGGACUGUUAAGUCAGCGGUAAAAGCCCGGGGCUAAACCCCGGCGAGCCGUUGAAACUGGCUGGCUUGAGAUGUCGAGAGGUAUGCGGAAGGGGCAGGGGAGCGGUGAAAUGCUUAGAUAUUGCGCAGAACUCCGAUGGCGAAGGCAGCAUACCGGCGGCGAUCUGACGCUGAGGCACGAAAGCGUGGGGAGCAAACAGGAUUAGAUACCCUUGUAGUC